rnacentral:rRNA from 1 species
UACGGGGGGAGCAAGCGUUGUUCGGAUUUACUGGGCGUAAAGGGCGCGUAGGCGGUCAGCACAAGUCAGUUGUGAAAUCUCCGGGCUUAACUCGGAAAGGUCAACUGAUACUGUGCGACUAGAGUGCGGAAGGGGCAACUGGAAUUCUCGGUGUAGCGGUGAAAUGCGCAGAUAUCAGGAGGAACACCGAUGGCGAAGGCAGCUCGCUGGGACGGUACUGACGCUGAGGCGCGAAAGCGUGGGGAGCGAACAGG